AUGCCAUUUGUGUUAAAUCAUUCACAAGAACUCACUAAAUUGAGAGCUUGAUCCUUUGUACUUGUUUAAGCCCUUCACUACUAAUAAGAACUCCUCUACUCCGUGGACGUAGCCAAUCUGGGUGAACCACGUACAUCCUGAGUUUGCUUCUCUGUCUCUAUUUAUUUACGUACUUAUCCUCACUAGUGACCGAAGCAACCAAGCGAAGGUCACAAAACCUGACAUUUUCUGUUGUACCAAAGUCUUCGCUGAUUUUGUGCAUCAACAUUUGGCGCCGUCUGUGGGAACCGACACUUAUUCCUACUCUCUUCAGCUGUGUCAAGCUGGUUUCUAUCAUUCGUACACUUUCUUUUGACCA
rnacentral:lncRNA from 1 species